AGAAAAGCAUCACAAGAAACAAACAGGUAAAACGUGAUGGAAGUUCAAAGCAGGAAAAGAUGGGAAGGGUGCAGAGCAGAUAGGGAGAGGAGGAAAAAAGAAGAAUCUGAGAAGGCUUUUUAGGAAGAAUUUAAAGAGGCAUAAUAUAAAUUUGUUAUAAAUUUUAUAGCUUAAGCUGAGGUAGGCAAACUUUUUCUGCAGAGGGGCAGAUAGUAAAUAUUUUAGGCUGUGAGGGUCAUAUGGUCUUUGUUGCAACUACUCAACUCUUCAGUUGCAGUGUAAAAGCAGCCGCAGAAAAUAAAUAGACAUUGAGCAUGGCUGUGUUCCCAUGAAGCUUUAUUUAUAAACAUAGGUGGUGGGCCAGAUUUGGUCCACAAGCUGCAGUUGGCUGGUCCGUGUUUUAAGCCAUGCUGUAGGCAUCCAGGGAAAGUUAGCAUAAUCAUGAAAGGAUUUACAGAAGAAACAUAGUGCUUUGGUUAAGAUUUGAUGAAUGGAUACAACUUGAAUAUCAAGGAAGAACAAUCAAGAAGGUAGAAUUAACAAUUUUUAUGAGAUACCAAAGAGACCAGGCCCUCAAGAGUCUCAAAUAGAGCAUUUGGAGGGAGGAAAUAUUUGAAAUACAGCUAGUUUAAGUAGAAUUUGCGGAGAGCCUUGAUAGAAAAGUAAAGAAGUUUAGAUGUAAGACAAGGGGAAUUAGGCAACCAUUGAUACGUUUCGAGCUCGAAAAUUAUGGCAUGCAAAUAUUUUUUAGGUUGCUGAGUAAGUUCAAGCACUGGCCUCUGGGGCCAUGAAAACAUGCAAAGCAGAGGUCCUGAGGACUAUACCCACAGGAUUAAAAACGUGCCCUUGUCCCCAGCCAGCAAGUGGUCAUGAUGGCACCUGUUCCCAUACAGAACUGGAGCUGGUCUGCAUCUCACACACACAGCUGGGCCCAGAUUCCCAGAAGGUUCUAGGUCCAUGCGUAUUAGGGUGUGGGCUUGACUUCACCAAAGCAUGGGGCAUUUUUACCUUCCUGUCCUCUGCAAAGGGGACUCCCCCUCCAUCUCAUGCCGGGCUCUCUCCUCCGCCUCCUCCACCCCGGAGCCCUCCUGCUGCUGUGCAUCUCGGGUUGUAACAAAUGAGUUACCAAAGGCUCCAACAAGCUGCUCGUCGUUAUCCCCGGCAGGAGAAAAGCAGCCACGACCUGGAGCUGGGACCUUGUUAGAGUUUGUAAUGAGCUGAAGGGAAAAUAUUUCUGCCUGAUUAGAAUCCCUAAUGAGCUGCUGACUAUGGUGAGCAGGGGAAGGCCAGCUUCCAGCUCUCUCCCCAGCCCUUCUCACACCUCUUCCUGCUCCCAAGCAGAGCUCCAAGCAGGAGAGCAUUCUUUGCCAGCAGUUAAAACCAUAAAGAACAACACGAAGCAGCCCCUGCCUGUCUCUCUUCUCCCUCUCCCUAGAAGGAUGCCUCGGUCUUAUUCAUUUCUCCAUGCACAUCAACCGCUGCCACCUGCUAACAUCCUAAUGAUGCCACCUGGACCUAUCCAUAAUUGGUCACAGGUGCCCCAUGGGUCCUGGCAACGUCCUCAGGCAGAGAGAGAUAGAAAGGUGGGAGAACACAGCAUCUGACCAGCCACUGGAAACAUGAGACCACAGGCCAGAUUCCCACCGCAACGAGUCGGAGCAAAGUCUCCAAUGCAAAGAAUUUUGCUCAGUUUGCUCCAUUUUCAGGCAGGCUCUCUCCACGUGGCAACAAAGAUGAUGUAAGCAGUUCCAGGCUUACCUCCCUCACACAGCCAGCGAAGCCAGAGAAAGGAGCCUGCCCCUCUCUCCCUCACCACCCAUCCUGGUCCCUGAAAAUGACUUAUAAUCCCCAGCUUGGGUCAUAUCCCCACUGCUGGGCAGGGACAGGCAGAGCUCCAUGGAUAACAGCCUCACCUGAAACACAGGUGUUGGAGGACAGUUUCCCAAAGGAAAGGACGCAGAGCAAACCCCAAGGAGCUGAUGUCCCUCAUGAGCACCUCAGCUAUGUGCCCGAAGUUCAUCACACUUCCUCUCCCACCUCCCCUUCUCUUGCCAUGAGCUCUCACCUACCAUUCCUCUUCUCUGCUCCUCACAAAUGGGCGAAGGCCCUCCCUAUCGCUCAGCAACAUGUCCCUGAUAGAUUCGAUCUCAUCAGCUGCUAACAUCCU
ensembl:lncRNA